AUUGUAGUCAUAUGCUUGUCUCAAAGAUUAAGCCAUGCAUGUCUAAGUACGAAUUCUAACACGGUGAAACUGCGAAUGGCUCAUUAAAUCAGUUAUGGUUCCUUAGAUCGUAAAAACCUACUUGGAUAACUGUAGUAAUUCUAGAGCUAAUACAUGCAAACAACUCUGACCGCGAGGGAAGAGCGCUUUUAUUAGAUCAAAAUCAAUCGGUGGUUUUCGGAUCGCCGUCCUCUUGAUGAUUCUGGAUAACUUUGGGCUGAUCGCAUGGCCUUGCGCCGGCGACGUAUCUUUCAAAUGUCUGCCCUAUCAACUGUCGAUGGUACGUGAUAUGCCUACCAUGGUUGCAACGGGUAACGGGGAAUAAU
rnacentral:rRNA from 1 species